rnacentral:SRP_RNA from 1 species
GCCUGUAGUCCCAGCUACUCAGGAGGCUGAGGUGGGAGGACUGCUUGAGUCCAGGAGUUCUGGGCUGCAGUGCGCUAUGCCAAUCAGGUGUCCACACUAAGUUCGGCAUCUAUAUGGUGACCUCUCGGGAGAAGAGGACCACCAGGUUGCCUAAGGAGGGGUGAACUGGCCCAGGUUGGAAACAGAGCAGGUCAAAACUCCCAUUUGUUGAUUCUUGGUAUUAUUUUUUGUAGACAAUUUGGGUUCAGAAAGUCUUUGAAUACACCUAUGUCU